AAGAAUACAAGAAUUCUCAGUUUGCUUUUCAACUUGGUUGGAGGUAGAUCGAUUCCAGAGAGACGACUUCAAACUGACUUUACAAACCAUUUUAACUGUUCAUCAAGUCAAGAGGAUUUUGGAUUUCUUGUUACGAAUGGAGUUGAAAAGUUGCUAGGAUACAGCAUAAGAUGCAAAGACAUUUUAGUAGAGAGCUCUGAGGACGAGAGAUCAAAAUACUUUGGUUUGGACAUUAAACCCUGAAGACCAAAAGAACAUGGAAGAUUCCUCUAAGGAUGAAAAAGUUACCGUCAAAAUCACAACUCUGGAUUUUAACAGUAAAGGCAUCAGGAGACUUUGUUGUUUUUGAAAGUGUUAAUGUUCCUCAUGACCAAAUGGACCUGGAUAUGUUUGCUUGCUCAAAGGUUGAGUGAGUUACUUUAACAACCAGAGCUAACUCUUUGUCAACACAGACAUUACAAAACAGUCUCUUUACCAGUCUUCCCAAAAACAUGAAGUACCUGGAUGUGAAACCAAGAUGUGACAGCAAGGAAAUUGUGACAAAUAUGAAGAAAUAUUUGAGGAUUCAUCAUCAGAAGAAAACUCACAAGAUGAAAUUCAAAAUGACACAGAUGAUUUUGACAUCUUUCCAAUCUUGAGCUAUCCAUGUAAUUUUGCAAUUGUCCAACUCAUUCUUCAAUUGUUGGAUAAAUUCCACAACACAAAACAUUAUGAACUUGAGUUUUACUAGAAGCAAUGCACCAACCAGGAAGAUAUUCUCCCCCAGAUGAAGUCUUUGCAGUUCAGAAUGAAAUAAUUGAAACACUGAAGAUGAAGGAUGUAGUACAUCGGGACAAGCCAGGAGACUUUUUGUUUUAUGUGCCACACUGUCUGACCCAAUAUGUCAUUAACAGAAGUCUUCAUGUAUUAUUUGUAACGUUGGUCCUGUCAUUCCCCAUUUAAAAUAUUUCUCCUUUCUU